CUGGCAGUCAUUCACUGUCCGAGUUGUAAAUUGAAGAGAUUGUCAUCCACACUGGACCAUGUCUAAAUUGUAAUGAUCCACAGUCCUUUGAUGGAGUAUCAGAGAGGGUAAUAAUCCCGUCUUUAACGUGGACUCCCAGUGUUUAUGUGAUGCAUUCUCUCAGAGUCGAGUAGUUUGGGAAUGCUGCUCUAAUGGGAGGUAAACUCCUUCUAAAGCUAAAUAUUGGCGAGAGACCGAUAGCGAACAAGUACCGUGAGGGAAAGAUGAAAAGAACUCUGAAAAGAGAGUCAAACAGAACGUGAAAUUGCUGAAAGGGAAGCGUUUGGAGUCAGAUGCGUCUUCAUGGAAUAACGGCUUCUGCAAAGAAGGUCAGUGACUUGAAGAUGGGCCAGCACUCACGUAGACCAUUGGAAAAGGGGUCAUUGGAAUGUAGCUCACUUGUUGAGUGAUUAUAGCCUUGAUUCAUAUACAAUGUGUGUUAUGUGAGAUAGACAGCACGACUCACUCAGUCA
rnacentral:rRNA from 1 species